CAGUGUGACUCGUCACACUAUCAUUAACUGAAUCCAUAGGUUAAUGAGGCGAACCGGGGGAACUGAAACAUCUAAGUACCCCGAGGAAAAGAAAUCAACCGAGAUUCCCCCAGUAGCGGCGAGCGAACGGGGAGGAGCCCAGAGCCUGAAUCAGCAUGUGUGUUAGUGGAAGCGUCUGGAAAGGCGCGCGAUACAGGGUGACAGCCCCGUACACAAAAGCGCAUGUGCUGUGAGCUCGAUGAGUAGGGCGGGACACGUGGUAUCCUGUCUGAAUAUGGGGGGACCAUCCUCCAAGGCUAAAUACUCCUGACUGACCGAUAGUGAACCAGUACCGUGAGGGAAAGGCGAAAAGAACCCCGGCGAGGGGAGUGAAAAAGAACCUGAAACCGUGUACGUACAAGCAGUGGGAGCACAGGUUUACCUGUGUGACUGCGUACCUUUUGUAUAAUGGGUCAGCGACUUAUAUUCUGUAGCAAGGUUAACCGUAUAGGGGAGCCGUAGGGAAACCGAGUCUUAACCGGGCGUUAAGUUGCAGGGUAUAGACCCGAAACCCGGUGAUCUAGCCAUGGGCAGGUUGAAGGUUGGGUAACACUAACUGGAGGACCGAACCGACUAAUGUUGAAAAAUUAGCGGAUGACCUGUGGCUGGGGGUGAAAGGCCAAUCAAACCGGGAGAUAGCUGGUUCUCCCCGAAAGCUAUUUAGGUAGCGCCUCGUGAAUUCAUCUCCGGGGGUAGAGCACUGUUUCGGCUAGGGGGCCAUCCCGGCUUACCAACCCGAUGCAAACUGCGAAUACCGGAGAAUGUUAUCACGGGAGACACACGGCGGGUGCUAACGUCCGUCGUGAAGAGGGAAACAACCCAGACCGCCAGCUAAGGUCCCAAAGUCAUGGUUAAGUGGGAAACGAUGUGGGAAGGCCCAGACAGCCAGGAUGUUGGCUUAGAAGCAGCCAUCAUUUAAAGAAAGCGUAAUAGCUCACUGGUCGAGUCGGCCUGCGCGGAAGAUGUAACGGGGCUAAACCAUGCACCGAAGCUGCGGCAGCGACGCUGAUGCGUUGUUGGGUAGGGGAGCGUUCUGUAAGCCUGCGAAGGU
rnacentral:rRNA from 1 species